AGCAUAUGUUUUGAUCCUUUCUUCCCUGGGGAUUUCUCUUAGCCUAACACUGCUGGAACCCAGGAUUCGAAAUGUAGGUCACACACUUUGGCAUCUAAAGAAGUGCUUCUGAUACCAUAUGGAGCCUCUUCAUUUAAGAAAGAGAAGAAAAAUUGAAGAAUGUAGUUAUGUGUGUAAAUCUUCCAGGGGAUGACUGUAGGUAAUGGUAUGACAUGGCUGGGAAAACAGUGAAGACAUCCUCAGAGUGUAUCAGUGUUGCUGCUCUGUCAGAAAUCUCUAGGACACUGCAUCCAGAACAUAUGGAGAGCAUCCUCACCAUUUGGUACUUUGACUCUACCACUCAAAAGUAGCCAGAGAAGAUGAAGCAGUUCAGUAUCUGUUGAAAUGCUUUGACUGGCAAGAUAUGACUGCUGCUAAUAGUUGUGCAUAAAAUACAAUUGUUUAAAAUUACUACAGUCCUCCCAGUGAUAAUGGGGUUCAGUAGAUGCAUCUCCUGAGGCUCUUAACUAUCUGAUUUCAUAGUGAUUAAUAUAAUGAAUUUCUGAAGUCUUUAACAACAUUACCCACUGAGAUUUUUUUAUUA